AACGAACGCUGGCGGCAUGCCUAACACAUGCAAGUCGAACGAGACCUUCGGGUCUAGUGGCGCACGGGUGCGUAACGCGUGGGAACCUGCCCUUAGGUUCGGAAUAACUCCCCGAAAGGGGUGCUAAUACCGGAUAAUGUCUUAGGACCAAAGAUUUAUCGCGUUUGGAUGGUCCGUCGUUGGAUUAGCUCGUUGGUAGGGUAAAAGACUACCAAGGCGACAAUUCAUAGCUGGGUUGAGAGGAUGGUCAGCCACACUGGGAUGGAGACACGGCCCAGAAUCCUACGCGAAGCAGCAGUGGGGAAUAUUGGAAAGUGGGCGAAAGGCUGAACGUGCAAGGCCGGGUGAGUGAUGAAGGUCUGAGGGUUGUAAAGCUCUUUUACCCGGGAUGAUAAUGACGGUACCGAGAGAAUAAGCCCCGGCUAACUCCGUG
rnacentral:rRNA from 1 species